CAGAGUGCGUUGAGCCUGAUGCUGGGAUGGAGAGUGAAACAGAACUGUCAGAUCAUUCUCAUGAUGUGACGUCAAGUGAGCCAGGUAAAGAUUUGUAAAUGCAUUUUUUUUUAAAGAUGUUUGUAAUUUCCAUUAGUUUAAUAAUAAUUAAAUCAUGCCUUCAAGCAGGCACUUCAGGAGUGAAUAGCAGCAGGCCAGUAAACACGAAUGAAGGAUCUCCAGAGGGGACACGGGAGGUCAUGAAAGUAACAUCAGUUCCUAGGAAGAGAAAGUGGAGUGAGGUGGAGAUUGCGGCUGUAGAAGAGAAAAUGAUGAAAUUUAUUCACUCGGGAGUUACUCCUGGAAAAGUCGACUGCAUUGCAUGCAUUACAGCAGCCCCCAAAGCCCUCGGUGAACGAGACUGGCAGGCGGUGAAGUAUUAUAUAAAAAACAGAAUCACAGCAUAUGAGAGAAAGACCACUAAAAAGUAA
ensembl:lncRNA